rnacentral:lncRNA from 1 species
GAACUCGAAUUAAAGGGGCCAGCGGGGGCCCGAGCCGGCGAGGCGUGCCGCCUGCCGCCGCCACCCGGCGGGCCGCUCAGUUGGGUCCCCGGGCCCCGGCCCCCUUCCCGCCAGGAAAACACCUCAUCCUUUGGCAGAGCUCAGCUUACUAACCAGAACCUGGUGGAGGGUUCAGAUGGGUGAUGCCCGAGAACCGGGGUGGGGGGUGGGUGGGGGAGAAGUUUAGAAGCGGUCACGAGAGGCUCCUGCCAAUGUAAUGAAGCAGACAAGGAGGAGACAACCAGCAGCUCUCCCAGGCCGGAGAAGGGAUCCAGCCCCCGGGGAGAUGUGCUGCUAUUAUUAUGUUGCUGCCAGACAGAGUCUGCAGACCCCCUCCUGGCCCUCUCGCGCUGGCGCGCCCCCUCCUCCAGCUCUGUCUCCCACCUCCCUCUUACCCAGCCCAAGCUUUGGCUUCGCCGGGGAAUGCAGCAGGUGCGGCUGGCCGCAGUGUGGCAGAAACUCGCUGCUGUGUUCGCCCCCACCAGGAGGAGCCGCAGGAACCGGCAGAACUGCAGAGCCGGCCCUCUGGACUCCCUCCCCCAGAGAUGGGGCAGGAAAGGCUGGGGGACGCUGUGCAGCUGCCCCAGGGGAGGGCCGGCUCCUCACAAAACGGCCCCCCUCGCAGACCUUGCAGGACCAGCGGACCCACGGGGCUCUGAAGUUGGGAAGGCAGCGCAUGGCAUCCCCCCGGGGUUUGCUCCCUGAGAGCUCAGCCAUUUCCACCUCCUGCAUCAAACUACCCUCCAGAAUCCAGCUCCACAUUUCUUCUGGAAGCUUCCUCCCUGACCAGCCCUGCAAGGCUCUGUUCCUCGUUCUUGCCACAUUGGGUCUUCCUGUCAAUUAAAGCACCACAGCCUUACCCAUUGGCUCAUGCCUGUGUAUUUUCUCGGCCUUCCUUUGUUGAAACGAAAGCCAUGCACAGGGAACAGCUCUUGAGGAAGAAUCAAUCAUCGUGUUCACGGGUGACAGGUGCUCAGCUGUCACUGUGCCCAGCACCUGUACCCAGCGGGACGUGUAAUCCUCACAGCUCUAGGAGGUGCUUUCUAUCCCAGCCCCAUCUCAGGGGAAGGGAAGCUGGGCAGAGAGAUGAGGCAAUGUGCCCAAGGCCACCGUGGUGAUGGCGGGACUUGACUCGGGGCCUUGUGACUCUGAGACACACACCCACAGCCCCCACCCUCACUGCUCAGGAGGAACGAGCAGCCCCUACAUUUCUUCCCCUCUUUGGAAUUUUCCUCUGCCCCUCCUUCCAUCUGGCUAGCCUCAGGGCUAUGCCACGCUCCCUCCCGCCUUGAAAGCCCGAUCUAAGUCUGAACAGCAACCCAAACGAAAUUAAGCAAAGAAAGAAAAGAAACCCUAAGAAUUGCUCACAGGUACAACGAGGCGGCUCCCGCUUGGAAAGGCAUCUCUUGGGUUGGCAGUGCUGGGUGACAAAAAAAUCCAGACCCAGUUGCUACUCCCGACACUUGCUAGCUGUGUGAUCUUGAGCAAGUUAUUUCACCUCUCUGAGCCUCGGUUACCUGAUCUGUCACCAUCUCAUGGGUGGUAAGAUGAAAUGACUUCUAGAGGGGACAGCCAGCCGGCUUAACCCAGACGUUUAGUCAUCUUUAGCUCAUGGUCACGAUUUCUCAUUUUGGCCACAGAAGAGCCUUCCCUAAGGCAGGUCACCCCCCCAAAGACCACUCCCUUCUCCUUCAGUCCAGUUUCCUGCCUCCAGCAGAGCCAAGGACUGGAGACCGUCGUCGCAUGAGCGACCUGCCCCUGCUCCAUGCAGGAAAAGCAUCACUUCCUGCACUGAGUCCUCGGGCAUUGAAAGGAGGUGCUUGUGAUGGUGCAUCUGCGCUCAC